GCCAGCUAUAGCACAUCGAUCUCUUGGAAAGCCCGAGACCAAAUCCCCGCUUAACUCCUCAAAGAUUUUCCUGGCUCUAAAAAUCUCCAUCCGCUGCAGCUACCUUCUGUGCAUAUAUACACACGCACUCCCUCCCCCUCAGCUUGCCUCCAUGGGGUUACCCCUCCUCACACCCAGCUCUCUCUCUUGCUUGAUGAGCUUGAGCUAGGCUACCCCUGCGCUCCAGCCUCUCCAUCCUCUCCUUGCUGCUUCUACUUUUGGUUCGUGUGGUUUGUUUUGAGACGCAGAGACAGAUGGAACGCACGGGGGAGCUCUACACCAUUGCGGUGGAGAGGAUGAGUUUAGGGAUAGUCAAGCCAUGUAGGCGGGUAUUGUUCCAUCAAGGGAUGAGCAAUGAACUUUAUCUUGGACAAGGAGUUUUAAUAAAAAUAGUUUAUGUCUAAUAAUAGCAUGGCGUUAUCCUAACUGAGCUUUUCUUCUAGUUACCAUUCUCAUCCUUCUUCAUAUUUUUUACAUCACUUUAUGUUAGGUUUGAUAAGGUUCGGUCUUCUUGACCUUGCAAGACCUUUUCUUGACCUUGUAAGACCCAACACUGCGAUGUUGCUUUUCUUAAUUUUUAUUUUUCGAUUUCAUCCAAUUCUCUUUUUCAUCUCUCAUCUUGCUUCUAUCUCUUGCCUUCUUUUUCUGUCUAUCCCUCCUGAGCUGUAU